AAGAUGAUCUGAAAGCAGUGUUGAUUAUUUGCGGGCAGAUGGAAAUGUCUCUUUGAUUGGCUUAUGGGGCCGCUCAAUGGGUGCUGUUACCAGUCAUGUAUGGAGCUGAAGAUCCUUCAAUUGCGGGAAUGGUUCUUGACAGUCCCUUUUCUGACUUGGUAGAUCUGAUGAUGGAACUAGUAGAUACAUAUAAUUCCGUUUGCCCAAGUUCACAGUUAGGUUUGCAAUCCAGAUCAUGCGAAAAGCUAUCCGAAAAAAGGCGAAAUUUGACAUAACAGGGCUGAACACCAUCAAGGUUUUAAGCUGGAGACUGCUUACUCUUCUAUUUUGAUUAUGCAACUCAUUUUUGAGUUUCACAUGGUUGAGUCUCUUCAUGAUAUUUUUGCAUUAAUCACUUCUGUUCAGCAGUUUUGCUUUAGGUUUUUUUUUUUGAAAAGUAGUAAUUUUAUUCAGAAAAGCAAAAGCAUUAUGUAGGGAUAAUAAUGAAAAACAUUGGCAGGGGCCUCAUUAAAACCCUCCCUAAGUCUAAUUGGAGGAAAAGAGAGUGUGCCCUAACCAAUGUAAGCAAUAACGGGUAUUCUAGAGCAAUCCAUUGAACCCUCCAAAACAUCUACUCCUAUGAACUAUAUAACCAUCGGCUAGAUAAACAUGGUCAUAAGUGACUAGCCUAGUAUGCUGAGCCUUUAAUACAAACAGAAAAGACAACCUGACAUUGCAUUAGUUUCUUCUUCUUCUAUACUGGUUAAACCAUUAGUGGAUGUUACGCCUUGCUGGGCAAGGACAAUAGGAAAACAGAAAGUUGCAAAAAGUGGAAAAACAGAAUCCCGUUUUCCCAUUGGUGUGCUUUAGGAAAGAUUGAGAGUUGGGAGGAGAAAAUUAUUUUUCUUCCAUCCAUUGCUUGGUAGAGUUGAAAAAUGAAAGGAAAGACAAAGGAAAAAAAACCUUUUUUAAUUGGACAUAAAAUUCAAAAAAGAAAAAAGGAGGAUAAUCUUACAGUACUAUCUCUCAUACCAAGUGAUGUG